rnacentral:lncRNA from 1 species
GAUUUUCAAAAAUAUUUAUUUCAAAAUAAAAAGGAAACUACUAUUCAAUUUAGUGAAAAGACAAAAUUAUUAUUAUUUUCUUUUUUUGUCAGCAACAAACAAACAGACUCAUAUAGAUUCUGUAAACCAAACUGGUAGCUCCGCACCCAUAUGGACUACAAACGAGGGUUGCUUCCUUGCACAGCGUGCGAGACUAUCUGCCCUUGAAUUUAACGUCCGUGGAAUAUGGAUAAGCUGUGAGCUGUGGAAACUUCCUUGUAGGAUCUUGAUAUCUUCUAGAUAACUUGCAAAUGCUGGCCAUUCAUCGGGUUCAGAAACCAUCUUCACCAACUGAGAACAAUCCGUCGCAAAUGUAACAGUAUAUUGUCUUAAAUUUCUCAUACAUUCCAUUGCCCAAAUGAGCGCCUCUAUCUCCGAGUGAAGGGGUGAUUGACACAUUCUAGUAUUUCUUGCUCCCAAUAAACUAUCAAAACCUUCCAAAGUACUACACCAUCCUUGUCUCGAAAAACUAUCAUUUUCUUUCCAAGAACCAUCCGUAAAACACCAUCUACCAGGAAUAUUUGGUACCGACGCAUUCACAUCCGUAAAAAAAAAAAGACAAAAUUAUUAAAGGAAUCAAUUUGAUAUAUAAAGUACACCUUUGAAAGACCAACAUAAAAUUAACUAACAAAAAAAAUCAUAAAGAAUAAAAGAAUUUCAAAUAAUAAAAACAAAAUGAAUCUAAAGCACUUUUCAUUACAUAUGAAUCUAACAAAAUAUCAUUUCAAAAUGGAAGCUAUUUCUUUCAAAAAAAAUAUCUAUAAUAAAUUUACUAAACAAAAUUGCCAAAUAACUAAAAGAAUCAGUUUAUUAUAAAAAAAUAAUUGUUUGGAAGAUCAACAUAAAAUUAAG